GCUUACGGCCAUACCACCCUGAAUGCGCCCGAUCUCGUCUGAUCUCGGAAGCUAAGCAGGGUCAGGCCUGGUUAGUACUUGGAUGGGUGACCGCCUGGGAACACCAGGUGCUGUAUGCU
rnacentral:rRNA from 1 species